CUCAUUCAUCCUUAACUAAAGGUUAAGGGUUCGAUCCUUGGCUUUGGGUAUAGAGCAGCCUUAAAUUUUCAUAUCAGCUGUUCCACCCAAAGAGGUACGGUGAAAAACGCUG